rnacentral:rRNA from 1 species
AUGGCAAGACUGCGAGUGGGAGGGGCGGACGUGUGGGCUUGGGCAAGAGAGAAUUUUGGCCUGUUCACGGUCAGGUCGGCAUAUAGGCAUGAGAUGCAAACUAAGCUACAAAUGCAAGAGACAGUUGGUUCAUCAUCUCGUGAGUCAGCCAUAUGGAAGGCGUUGUGGAAUAUCAAUGUGCUUCCAAAGAUCCGGGUGUUUUGGUGGCGUGUGCUGAAGAACUUCUUGCCAUCUUAUGGCGAGCUUCACAGAAGGCAUAUCAAGCAGCUACCGAACUGCCCAAUGUGUGGACAUGACAAUGAGACAUUGUUUCACUCGCUGAUGGCAUGUGACCAUGCAAUGCGGAACAACUACACUCAUGAUGAGAUGGUGUAUCAACUGGUGAAAUCCAUGGUGAUUAUCGAGGAGAUUGUUUGGGCACUUGAGAUCCCGGAGAGGAAGAAGACCCAAGCUACUGUCCCCCCGAGGUGGUUGCCACCGGAGGAGGGAUGGAUAAAUAUUAACACUGAUGGAGCCACGGAUAUGGGUCUUAUAAGGGGAGGAGUGGGCUUAAUUGCUCGAGAUCAUCACGGAGCUCUCAUUAGAGCUGGAGGCUCAAGGACAUGGGCAUCCAGCAAGUUGUGCUGGAGACGGACUGUCAGGAGAUCCAACAGCUCUGGGAUGCACCUCAGAGUCUUUUCAUCUGACGAAGGAUUUAUAAUGGAUGCACAUCACUUUGGGAGGAAUUACCAGACACACGACCAGCGAGCGGUGGCAGAAGCAACAUUACCUUGGAGUACAUGA